CCUACGGGAGGCAGCAGUGGGGAAUAUUGCACAAUGGGGGAAACCCUGAUGCAGCAACGCCGCGUGAGUGAAGAAGUAUUUCGGUAUGUAAAGCUCUAUCAGCAGGGAAGAAAAUGACAGUAUCUAACUAAUAAGCCCCGGCUAACUACGUGCCAGCAGCCGCGGUAAUACGGAGGGGGCAAGCGUUAUCCGGAUUGACUGGGUGUAAAGAGAGCGUAGGCGGGUGAGCAAGUCAGAAGUGAAAGCCCGGGGCUGAACCGCGGGACUGCUUUUGAAACUGUGUAGCUAGAGUGUAGGAGAGGUAAGUGGAAUUCCUAGUGUAGCGGUGAAAUGCGUAGAUAUUAGGAGGAAUACCGGUGGCGAAGGCGGCUUACUGGACUGUAACUGACGUUGAGGCUCGAAAGCGUGGGGAGCAAACAGGAUUAGAUACCCCUGUAGUC
rnacentral:rRNA from 1 species